GGUGGCUCAGUGGUAGAGCGCUUGCCUUGCACAUAUGAGGCCCUGAGUUCAAUUCCUCAGCACCA
rnacentral:tRNA from 1 species